GAUGAACGCUGACAGAAUGCUUAACACAUGCAAGUCGAUGGGGAAGUGGUGCUUGCACCAUGGUAACCAUGGCGGACGGGUGAGUAACGCGUAAGGAACUUACCUGCGGGACCGGGAUAACAGCAGGAAACUGCUGACAAGACCGGAUAAGGUCAUUAAGCUGCAUAGCUUAGUGAUGAAAGGAGACGCCUGCGGAGAGCCUUGCGUCCUAUUAGCUAGUUGGAGGGGUAACGGCCCACCAAGGCGAAGAUAGGUAGCCGGCCUGAGAGGGUGGACGGCCACAAGGGGACUGAGAUACGGCCCUUACUCCUACGGGAGGCAGCAGUGGGGAAUAUUGGACAAUGGGGGCAAACCUGAUCCAGCAAUUCUGUGUGCACGAAGACGGUUUUCGGAGUGUAAAGUGCUUUCAGCAGGGAAGAAGGAAGUGACGGUACCUGCAGAAGAAGCGACGGCUAAAUACGUG
rnacentral:rRNA from 1 species